CCUGAGAAACCCAAAAGAUCGAUCGGGGAGAUUCAUCGUCAGCGAUUCUGGUACGUGCGCGGUUCGCGAUGCCGCGGGACCCUCGGUCCCGUGGCACGCGUCCGCGCAUGGUUUUAUUGCCAGGUGUCGUCGGCGUGCACUUCUCCCCUAGUAGGACGUCGCGACCCGUUGGGUGUCGGUCUACGGCCCGGAUGGUAGCCUGUCGUGUGUCGCGCCUUGUGCCGAUAUGCGGCAGACCCCCGGUCGCCCGACCGGCUGCCCGGCGGUAUUCGCACGGUAUCGAGCCGCAAAUAUUUGAACUGCGUCCGGCCCGCCGCAAGCGAGGUCAGUGUUUCCCGGAUGUGCGGACCUAGCGCCGUCACCGGGCCUGGCCAGCUGUUGGUCGGCGGUGUCCUGGGACUGGCUCACAAUUUGAAUUAUGAUACCGGUCGGCGACGCUACUGCUUUGGGUACUUUCAGGACCCGUCUUGAAACACGGA
rnacentral:rRNA from 1 species